rnacentral:rRNA from 1 species
AUGGAACGUUGGCGGCGUGCCUAAUACAUGCAAGUCGAACGGAGAUUGUAGUAAUACGGUCUCAGUGGCGAACGGGUGAGUAACGCGUUGGUGACCUGCCCCGAAGUGUGGAAUAACAGAUCGAAAGAGCUGCUAAUACCGCAUAAUAUCCAGAAGAUUAGACGCUUUUGGAUUAAAGGAUUUAUUCGCUUCGGGAGGGGCCUGCGUCCCAUCAGCUAGUUGGUAAGGUAAUGGCUUACCAAGGCUAUGACGGGUAGGGGACCUGAGAGGGUGGCCCCCCACAAUGGAACUGAAACACGGUCCAUACACCUACGGGUGGCAGCAGUAGGGAAUAUUAGUAAUGGGCGAAAGCCUGAACUAGCAACGCCGCGUGUGCGAAGAAGGCCUUCGGGUUGUAAAGCACUUUUAGAGAGGAUGAGGAAGGACGGUACUCUCAGAAUAAGUCUCGGCUAACUACGUGCCAGCAGCCGCGUAAAAUCACGUGUA